rnacentral:rRNA from 1 species
UACAGAGGGGGCAAGCGUUGUUCGGAAUUACUGGGCGUAAAGGGCGCGUAGGCGGCCUUCUAAGUCGAACGUGAAAUCCCCGGGCUCAACCCGGGAACUGCGUCCGAUACUGGGAGGCUUGAAUCCGGGAGAGGGAUGUGGAAUUCCCAGGUGUAGCGGUGAAAUGCGUAGAGAUCCGGAGGAACACCAGUGGCGAAGGCGACACGCUGGGCCGUACCUGAGCACUGAUGCGCGGACAGCCAUGGGGAGCAAACAGG